rnacentral:rRNA from 2 species
UGCAGUCGAGCGGACAGAAGGGAGCUUGCUCCCGGAUGUUAGCGGCGGACGGGUGAGUAACACGUGGGUAACCUGCCUGUAAGACUGGGAUAACUCCGGGAAACCGGAGCUAAUACCGGAUAGUUCCUUGAACCGCAUGGUUCAAGGAUGAAAGACGGUUUCGGCUGUCACUUACAGAUGGACCCGCGGCGCAUUAGCUAGUUGGUGGGGUAAUGGCUCACCAAGGCGACGAUGCGUAGCCGACCUGAGAGGGUGAUCGGCCACACUGGGACUGAGACACGGCCCAGACUCCUACGGGAGGCAGCAGUAGGGAAUCUUCCGCAAUGGACGAAAGUCUGACGGAGCAACGCCGCGUGAGUGAUGAAGGUUUUCGGAUCGUAAAGCUCUGUUGUUAGGGAAGAACAAGUGCGAGAGUAACUGCUCGCACCUUGACGGUACCUAACCAGAAAGCCACGGCUAACUACGUGCCAGCAGCCGCGGUAAUACGUAGGUGGCAAGCG